AUGCCGUUUGGCCUUUGCAACGCGCCGGCAACCUUCCAAUGCCUGAUGAACAGCAUAUUCGGCCGCUACGUCCGUAAGUUCAUCAUCAUUUUCCUUGACGACAUAUUGGUCUUCAGCCUUGAUCUGCAGGAACAUGAACAACAUCUGCGCCUCACGCUCGAGCUGCUCCGCGUGCAUCAGCUGUUCGCCAAGGCGUCGAAGUGUUCGUUCGCCCAGAAGAGCAUCGAGUACCUGGGCCACAUCAUUUCACAGGCCAGAGUCGCCACGGACACAAGCAAGACGAGCGCGAUGCAAGCGUGGCCGGUGCCCUCUACACCAACUGAACUGCGCGGUUUUCUUGGCCUCACCGGCUACUACCGUAAGUUCGUCCCGCAUUAUGGCAUCAUCGCGAAGCCGCUCACCCAGCUCCUGACCAAGAAGGGAUUCGAGUGGAGCGACAAGGCCCAGCAGGCGUUCGACAUGCUCAAACAAGCAAUGGUGAGCACACCAGUACUGGCGCUCCCGGAUUUCUCACGCCCCUUCGCCAUCGAGACCGACGCGUGCGACACCGGAGUGGGCGCGGUGCUCACCCAGGACGGCCACCCCGUCGCCUACCUCAGCAAGGACUUGGGGGUCAAGAACCAGAAGUUAUCCACGUAUGAAAAGGAGUUCUUGGCAGUCAUGAUGGCCAUCGAAAAGUGGAGGCCUUACCUCCAGCGCGCGCCAUUCGAAAUUGUCACCGACCACAAGAGCCUCUGCACGCUCGGCGAUCAACAGCUGGUGACUGAGCUGCAGCGCAAGGCGAUGUCCAAGAUGGUGGGUUUGCAGUUCACCUUCCGGUACAAGAAAGGUGUCGACAAUGGCGCCGCUGACGCACUUUCCAGGGUUGGACAUCUGCUGACACUCGACGCACUGUCAGUCUGUCAGCCACAGUGGUUACAAGAGGUCGCCAACUCCUACGAGAUAGACCCGGAAUCGCAAGAACUCCUGGCCAAGCUGGCAGUCACCACCUCGGAUGAUCAAGGGCGCACUCUUCAGAAUGGCGUGAUCAGGCAGCGCGGGCGUCUGUGGAUUGGAGCCAAUUCCGCGCUGCAGACCAAGCUGAUCGCCGCGCUGCAUCACAGCGCUGUUGGUGGCCACUCCGGCGCAACGACUACGUAUCAUCGCGUCCGGAAGCUGUUCGCUUGGCCGGGCCUGAAGCGCGCCGUGGAGGAUUUUGUCAGGCAGUGUGCCGUCUGUCAACAUGCCAAGCACGAGCACACACACCCCGCAGGCAAGCUUCAACCUCUACCAAUCCCUACCGAACCAUGGCACGAUCUGACCAUGGAUUUCGUCGAGGGGCUGCCCUAG
rnacentral:rRNA from 1 species